AACCUGCCUGUAAGACUGGGAUAACUCCGGGAAACCGGGGCUAAUACCGGAUGCUUGUUUGAACCGCAUGGUUCAGACAUAAAAGGUGGCUUCGGCUACCACUUACAGAUGGACCCGCGGCGCAUUAGCUAGUUGGUGAGGUAACGGCUCACCAAGGCAACGAUGCGUAGCCGACCUGAGAGGGUGAUCGGCCACACUGGGACUGAGACACGGCCCAGACUCCUACGGGAGGCAGCAGUAGGGAAUCUUCCGCAAUGGACGAAAGUCUGACGGAGCAACGCCGCGUGAGUGAUGAAGGUUUUCGGAUCGUAAAGCUCUGUUGUUAGGGAAAAACAAGUGCCGUUCAAAUAGGGCGGCACCUUGACGGUACCUAACCAGAAAGCCACGGCUAACUACGUGCCAGCAGCCGCGGUAAUACGUAGGUGGCAAGCGUUGUCCGGAAUUAUUGGGCGUAAAGGGCUCGCAGGCGGUUUCUUAAGUCUGAUGUGAAAGCCCCCGGCUCAACCGGGGAGGGUCAUUGGAAACUGGGGAACUUGAGUGCAGAAGAGGAGAGUGGAAUUCCACGUGUAGCGGUGAAAUGCGUAGAGAUGUGGAGGAACACCAGUGGCGAAGGCGACU
rnacentral:rRNA from 1 species